ACAGGAGGAUUUUUGCAGAGCUUCCAUCCAGUUCAGAAACAAAGCAAUUCAAUACAUGUCUUCAAGAUUUCUAAAGGCAAUGACUUAUUGUUGUUGUUUGUUUGUUUUGUCAGUAGAACCAUGGAGAAUUGCCAAGAUUGCUGACUAGAUGUGGCCAGGAGAAAUAUCUCCCACUGAGAGACUGGGACAUUGGAAAGACUAUAACACACCUCUGAGUAGAUCUUCUGAUGGAAGACAUUAAGAGUGGAUGCAGAGAGGAUGCAGAUGCUGGGCUGAAGAGAGAGGAAGCUGGAAACCCUGCAUAGUGUGGCUGAGCCUCAGGACUUGUACCUGGCCCUCAGAGACUCCUGGGGGAAGGGUGAGUUUACAGGUGAGGAGUGGCCUGCUCUCACCAUGGACCCAUUCUGGUAGGUCCCUCAACCUCUAUGGGCAUCUGAGAUGGUAGGAAAAGCUGCUCAGAGAGGUCAUAUGGGCAGGACUCCAGCCUAUGCAGAGCCCAGAGUGGUGGGAGAACAGCUGCAGUGAAGCACAUCCAGGGACGGCCAUCCUCCAAGGCUCACUGUGCUUCUCCAGGAUACUUUAGCCUCAAUAUGACUGUUAGAGCUAGACAAAGCAGGGCAGUCUUGCUCGUGGGAUGCGGCCUGAUGCCUGAUCUGAUGCUCUGUUACCUGCUGGCCUCUCUUGGGGAGCCAGUCUGGUCGUGCUUGCUUGAAGUGCAGCCUUGGAUACCCAACAGGGGUGCUUCUAGGAACCCUCAUCAUAGCUCCUUCAAUGGCAGACUUAGCUCCUUCAAUGGCAGACUGUGCCUGAUUAUCAGAGAACUCCAGCAGACCAGGCCCCACUUACAUGAACCAGCCCACGCACAGCUUCACCCUAUCACAGCCCUCCCGUAAUGCUUUACUGACAUGCAUUUGCUCAUGGCCAUUCUCCAUCGCUGUGCUUGUAUGAGUCCACCUUGUUGCUUCCCCCUGCCAUUAACAUGCAGGUUCACUCCUGUGCCAGCACUAAUGUGUGCACAGAUGCUGGCAACACUGUUCUCCCCCCAACCCCUGCUACCACCGCCACCAAUGCUGCCGGUGUGAAUGCAUACAUGGACACCAGCAACUCCAUCUCUGCUAGUGUACUGCCCUUGCUGUGCUGUCAUCACUGGCAUAAACAUGUGCAGGAACACCACCUCCCUGCUCCCACAGUUGCUCUGUGCAAGCCAACAUGUGUGCACCUUGCCACAUUGCUGUGGCUGCUGGUAUGCAUGAGCCAGCAUGGAUCCCACUGCCACUACUCCAGUGACAUGCUUUGACCAGCACCCCUCCCCAUCAGAGUGUGGUGGCCAGUGGACAAGAACACCUCAGUCUCUCCAGUGCAGCAGCUUCCUAACCUUGAGGGGCCAGAGAACAAGGCUGGGGGCCCAGUACCAGCCUCCCAGAGUUAAAACAUGCAGCCCAGCAGUGUAGAGCUGAGCCUUGGCUUUCUAAAAUCUUCCAGAAAUAAAUGAAGCCAGUUGACUGAACCCAUCAUAUGCCACAAUCUAACUCCCAGGGCAUCAAAGAAGAUAAAAGCCAAAAUCCCCAUCCAAAGGACAGUAAUAUCAAAGAUGAGAAAGAACCAGUGCAAAAAACUCUGGCAAUUCAAAAAGCCAGAGUGUCUUUUUACCUCCAAACGAUCACUCCAUUUCCUCAGUGGUGGUUCUUAACUAGGCUGAAAAGACAGAAAUGACAGAUAUAGACUUCAGAAUAUGGAUAGGAAAGAUGAUCAAGAUUUGGGAGAAGAUUGAAACCCAAUCCUAGGAAGCUAAGGAAUACAAUAAUGCAAUACAGGAGCUGAAAGAUGAAAUGGCCAUUUUAAGAAAGAACCAAACUGAUGUGAUAGAGUGACAGAGCUGAAAAACUCACUUUGAGAAUUUCACAAUACAAUUGCAAGUAUUAACAGCAGAGUAGACCAUGCUGACGAAGGACUCUCAGAUCUUGAAGACCAGUUCUCCAAAGUUAACUUGGUCAGAC
rnacentral:lncRNA from 1 species